AACUAACGCUGGCGGCGUGCCUAACACAUGCAAGUCGUACGAGAAAGUCCGCUUCGGUGGAUAAGUAAAGUGGCGCACGGGUGAGUAACGCGUGGAUAAUCUACCCCUCAGUUGGGAAUAACGCACCGAAAGGUGCGCUAAUACCGGAUAAUACUGCAUGACUACUGUUGUGCAGUCAAAGAUGGCCUCUGCUUGCAAGCUUUCGCUGAAGGAUGAGUCCGCGUACCAUUAGCUAGUUGGUAGGGUAAUGGCCUACCAAGGCAACGAUGGUUAGCUGGUCUGAGAGGAUGAUCAGCCACACUGGAACUGAGACACGGUCCAGACUCCUACGGGAGGCAG
rnacentral:rRNA from 1 species